rnacentral:rRNA from 1 species
CCUANGGGUGGCAGCAGUGAGGAAUAUUGGUCAAUGGGCGCAAGCCUGAACCAGCCAUCCCGCGUGCAGGAAGAAGGCGCUAUGCGUUGUAAACUGCUUUUCCGGAGGAAGAAAACCCCUGACGUGUCGGGGCUUGCCGGUACUCUGGGAAUAAGCGCCGGCUAACUCCGUGCCAGCAGCCGCGGUAAUACGGAGGGCGCGAGCGUUGUUCGGAAUUACUGGGCGUAAAGCGCGUGUAGGCGGCCAGGUAAGUCGGAUGUGAAAGCCCGGGGCCCAACCCCGGAACUGCACCCGAUACUGCCCGGCUGGAGUCCCGGAGAGGAUGGCGGAAUUUCCGGUGUAGAGGUGAAAUUCGUAGAUAUCGGAAGGAACACCAGUGGCGAAGGCGGCCAUCUGGACGGUGACUGACGCUGAGACGCGAAAGCGUGGGGAGCAAACAGGAUUAGAUACCCCANUANUC